AACGAACGCUGGCGGCAGGCCUAACACAUGCAAGUCGAGCGCCCCGCAAGGGGAGCGGCGGACGGGUGAGUAACGCGUGGGAACGUACCCUUUGCUACGGAAUAGCCUCGGGAAACUGGGAGUAAUACCGUAUGUGCCCUUCGGGGGAAAGAUUUAUCGGCAAAGGAUCGGCCCGCGUUGGAUAGGUAGUUGGUGGGGUAAUGGCCUACCAAGCCGACGAUCCAUAGCUGGUUUGAGAGGAUGAUCAGCCACACUGGGACUGAGACACGGCCCAGACUCCUACGGGAGGCAGCAGAGGGGAAUCUUAGACAAUGGGCGCAAGCCUGAUCUAGCUAUGCCGCGUGAGCGAUGAAGGCCUUAGGGUUGUAAAGCUCUUUCAGUGGGGAAGAUAAUGACUGUACCCACAGAAGAAGCCCCGGCUAACUCCGUGCCAGCCGCCGCCGUAA
rnacentral:rRNA from 1 species